UCAAGCUAUAAAGAGCAUAGGGUGGAUGCCUUGGCACCAAGAGCCGAAGAAGGACGUGGUCAGCUGCGAUAAGCCAUGGUCAGCCGCAAGCAGGCAAUGACCCAUGGAUUUCCGAAUGCGGAAACGCGGCACGUUAACAGCGUGUCAUCAUGUCAUGAAUAAAUAGUGACAUGAGGGGAACCCGGUGAACUGAAACAUCUAAGUAGCCGGAGGAAGAGAAAGAAACAUCGAUUUCCUUAGUAGCGGCGAGCGAAAGGGAAAGAGCCCAAACCGAGGGUCUACGGACGUUCGGGGUUCGGACUUGCAAAAAUCGAAGUACUUAUAGACGAAGAGGUUUGGAACUUCCUACCAAAGAGGGUAACAGUCCCGUAGUCGAAAUGAGUACAAGAGGGCGAGAAUCCAGAGUACCACAGGACACGAGUAAUCCGGUGGGAAGACGGGGGGCCCACCCCCCAAGGCUAAAUACUACUUGGUGACCGAUAGCGUAUAGUACCGUGAGGGAAAGGUGAAAAGAACCCCGGGAGGGGAGUGAAAUAGUACCUGAAACCCUAUGUUUACAAGCAGUGGGAGCGAGAGCGACCAUGUACUUUUUGUAGAACGGGCCGGCGAGUUACUGUGUGCAGCGAGGUUAAGUUGUUAAGCAACGGAGCCGAAGGGAUACCGAGUCUGAAAAGGGCGUAAAGUUGCAUGCAGUACACCCGAAACCGGGUGACCUAUCCAUGGACAGGAUGAAGCGACGGUAAGACGUCGUGGAGGUCCGAACCACACGUACGUGAAAAGUGCGGGGAUGAGCUGUGGAUAGCGGAGAAAUUCCAAUCGAACUCGGAGAUAGCUGGUUCUCCCCGAAAUAGCUUUAGGGCUAGCCUCGAUUUAGAUUACCGGGGGUAGAGCACUGAAUGGGCUAGGGGGCCACAAAGCUUACCGAACCCUAUCAAACUUCGAAUACCGGAUAAUUGAUGAUCGGGAGUCAGACAGUGUGAGAUAAGUUUCAUUGUCGAAAGGGAAACAGCCCAGAUCUACGACUAAGGUCCCAAAGUUCAAGUUAAGUGGAAAAGGAUGUGCAAUUGCGUAGACAACCAGGAUGUUGGCUUAGUAGCAGCCAUUCAUUCAAAGAGUGCGUAAUAGCUCACUGGUCGAGUGAUUGUGCGCCGAAAAUGUAACGGGGCUAAACUUGACACCGAAGUCUAGGCAGAAGGAAACUUCUGGGUAGGGGAGCAACGUGUACGGGCAGAAGCAGAAGCGGAAGCGACUGUGGACUGUACAGGAGAGAGAAUGCCGGCAUGAGUAGCGAGAGCAAAGUGAGAAUCUUUGCCGUCGAAAGCCUAAGGUUUCCUGAGGAAGGCUCGUCCUCUCAGGGUAAGUCGGGACCUAAGCCGAGGACAAUAGUCGUAGGCGAUGGACAAUCGGUUAAUAUUCCGAUACCGCCGAGCAACCGGAUGCAGUGACACAGAAGGAUAGGCAGAGCGUGGCGAUGGUAGACCACGUCCAAGCAGUGAGGCUGUUGUGUAGUGAAGUACGCACAACGGAAGGCUGGGCUGUGAUGGGGAACGAUUACGAUCGGUAAGCUGCUGAAUUCACGCUGGCGAGAAAAGCUGCUACGAAGCGAAGGCGCCCGUACCGCAAACCGACACAGGUAGGCGAGGAGAGAAUCCUAAGACGAGCGGGAGAACCCUUGUUAAGGAACUCGGCAAAAUGACUCCGUAACUUAGGGAGAAGGAGUGCCCAGGAAUGGGCCGCAGAGAAUAGACCCAAGCGACUGUUUACCAAAAACACAGGUCUGUGCGAAGUAGAGAUACGACGUAUACGGGCUGACACCUGCCCAGUGCCGGAAGGUUAAGGGGAAAUGUUAGGGCAACCGAAGCAUGGAACUUAAGCCCCGGUGAACGGCGGCCGUAACUAUAACGGUCCUAAGGUAGCGAAAUUCCUUGUCGGGUAAGUUCCGACCCGCACGAAUGGUGUAACGAUUUGGGUACUGUCUCAACAAGGGACCCGGCGAAAUUGUAGUAUGUGUGAAGAUGCACAUUACCCGCGAUAGGACGGAAAGACCCCGUAGAGCUUUACUGUAGUUUAACAUUGGAUUCCGGUAACAUAUGCACAGGAUAGGUGGGAGGCGGAGAAGCAGUGAUUUCGGUUGCUGCAGAGCCGACGUUGGGAUACCACUCUUGUGUUACUGGGGUUCUAACCUGUGGCCGUGAUCCGGCACAGGAACAGUGUUAGAUGGGCAGUUUGACUGGGGCGGUCGCCUCCAAAAGA
rnacentral:rRNA from 1 species